GCCGAUGUAGCUCAGGUGGUAGAGCGCAUCCUUGGUAAGGAUGAGGUCACGGGUUCAAUUCCCGUCAUUGGCUCAA
rnacentral:tRNA from 1 species